AGAGAGGUGUCCGAGUGGUUGAAGGAGCACGCUUGGAACGCGUGUGUAGGGCAACUUACCGAGGGUUCGAAUCCCUUCCUCUCUGCCA
rnacentral:tRNA from 1 species